CUCCAGUUGAUCGCAUGGUCUUCUGGGAAAGCUUUCGCGGUAUGGGAUGGGGUCGCGUCCUAUCAGCUUGACGGCGGGGUAACGGCCCACCGUGGCUUCGACGGGUAGCCGGCCUGAGAGGGCGACCGGCCACAUUGGGACUGAGAUACGGCCCAGACUCCUACGGGAGGCAGCAGUGGGGAAUAUUGCACAAUGGGCGCAAGCCUGAUGCAGCGACGCCGCGUGAGGGAUGGAGGCCUUCGGGUUGUAAACCUCUUUUAUCGGGGAGCAAGCGAGAGUGAGUUUACCCGUUGAAUAAGCACCGGCUAACUACGUGCCAGCAGCCGCGGUAAUACGUAGGGUGCAAGCGUUAUCCGGAAUUAUUGGGCGUAAAGGGCUCGUAGGCGGUUCGUCGCGUCCGGUGUGAAAGCCCAUCGCUUAACGGUGGAUCCGCGCCGGGUACGGGCGG
rnacentral:rRNA from 1 species